UCUUAUUCCGAGCAUUCCAGUAACUUUUUUGUGUGUAUGUACCUAGCUGUACUAUAAGUAGUUGGUUUGUAUGAGAUGGUUAAAAA
rfam:Cricetulus griseus cell line CHO-K1, whole genome shotgun sequence.